UACGGGGGGGGCAAGCGUUGUUCGGAGUUACUGGGCGUAAAGGGCUCGUAGGCGGCCAACUAAGUCAGACGUGAAAUCCCUCGGCUUAACUGGGGAACUGCGUCUGAUACUGGAUGGCUUGGAUUCGGGAGAGGAAUGCGGAAUUCCAGGUGUAGCGGUGAAAUGCGUAGAUAUCUGGAGGAACACCGGUGGCGAAGGCGGCAUCCUGGACCGACACUGACACUGAGGAGCGAAAGCCAGGGGAGCAAACGGG
rnacentral:rRNA from 1 species